UAUAUUCUUUGUAGUGACCAUUUGAAUGAUGGUCACUCAAUACUAAAAUGCAAAAGUGAUAGUGGCACAGGAUAUGAAUCAAGGGCACCAUAACUAGUAUUAGAGUGUUAAUGAGAUAUGUUUGAAACAUAUAUGGACUUUUCACAAACUUUGGGAAGAGUGUCAUAGACUCAGUCUAAUAUGCAAGAGAUUGUCAAAUAGGUGGGUGAAGCUUGAAUGAUUUGCAUUAGAUGUUACACUGUUAUCAACUUAGGUAACUGGAAUAGUCAUAGACUAAUAUGCACUCUGCUUUUUAUAUUUCUCUAUAAAUGUUAGUGUUAAUUUUUCAUAAGCACACACUAUGCACAACAAUUAGUGAUUUUACACAUUACACAUCCUCUUUUGAAGUUACAUUAUUAUCAAGGAGAUGAAA